ensembl:lncRNA
GUUUAACAAAAAUAGAAUACACAGUUAUAAGUGAAUCAGAAUUUAUUUCAAUUUCACGAAGGAGUUUCGGGGAUUACACGGUUCUCAUAAUGUAUCACCUUGCUGUGCAAAGGCUGCUUCCUGCUGCAGGGCGGUGUAGGGAAAGCUGCUUUUAUUCAUAUGAGGAGACUUUUGCAUCAGCAAAUGAACGAUAUUACAGCUCUUAUGCAUUAGCCUUUCGGUAGCUUGACACGGGAAAGAAGGAAUUAGAGCAGUGUGUUAAAGGACGAGGUCUGCUUUCUUGCAUCUCAAGCGGUGGUAGAUUUGCAGAAUAGGCCUGCGAAGCAAUGUGCAGAGCACGAUGUUCAUUUUCAUAUGUCAGUAUGCGUCUGCACUGGAGACUGUCUUUCAGGAUCAUUUAGAUGAAAAGAUUAUAGUCAGAGCUCUUCCUUCAAAAACACACGCUAAAAAUAGUGGCAGGUACAAGAGGGUUUUUCUUCAAAGGACACGGUUAGAGAUUGCCAGAGCGGUGAACAAAGCCGGUUCUCUUGAGACAAGGAGAUACGGCAUCCUCAUUUCUCAACACAGUGCAUAUUUAUGGAACAGCAACAUCAGAAGGCACUGUGGAAUUAGAACUCUGACCUCUGGCUUUAGGAGAAGGCUGGUCCUGCAGUAAGUAAGCCUGGUGCUGAUGGUUUCCGCAAGCUUAUAAACAAUGCUCCACAUCUUAACCUCCUUCCCUCUGUCCCUUGCAAAUAUAUGCCAUGGAUAUAUACGUGACAUGUCACCAAGCUAUUUUAAGUCUUUCGUGACACCAGCAGAGAGGAGGAGGAGGAAGUUUGGGCAAAUGUGGGGGUGUAUUUUAUUCAAAUUCAGUUUACAUAGCUCCCGUGAGAAUGACAUGCUGCCGUGAAGAAUGGACAACUCAGAACACCACUCCGAAGCCCUGGGAAAAAAGUUCAUCUCUACAUUUGACUCCAUGGUCCUGUACUGGUGAAUGUGGCACCGCUGGAGCGGUACUGCAGGAACCAUUGCUUUCCCAGAGCAGAUCACAAAAAGGUCUGCAGUGGUUCUUCUGAAGCAGUUUUUUAUGAAGGAGCAUUUGUAUGGACACCCGUGUUUUAGAUAAGAAACUGUGUGGUGAACACCACUGGGUAGUUAACAUGAAAAUGAUUCAUUCCCACAGCACUGGCAAGUGCAGAGAUUUCCAAGCCCAGGCCCAAGCACGGAGGUUUUUUAAGCCUUAUUGAAGAGAGUGGGAAGUCUGUUACAGAGAGUAAAAGGAAAGGCUCAUUCACCAAAUCUGGAUUGAGAAGGGCAGUAUGUAACUGUAGUAGCAGGGACUUCCCCCCAGACUCAUGGUAAGAGGUAAGAAUAGCAAGUAUUGUUGUAGCCUGGUUAGGGAACUAAAUCUUCGAGAGGGAAUAAGCAAACAUGUCAGAAAGUACUGACUGUAAUUUUGCCUUCUGGUCUAAGUACAGGUCACUUGUAGUUUUCUCCUCAUCCCAUUUUCUAUAAAUGCAUAAUUCAUCCAGAAAUUCUUCUUAGACUCUUCUCCACUGCUGUAACUUCCUUUUGUGCUGGCUUUUCUCCAAUACCUUGUUUAGCAUUCAGUGUUUGUGGCACAGUGACUGUAUCCAUGUUGUCACAUAGAUUUAUUAUUAGAAUUCAUAGAAUCAUAGAAUCACGAAGGCUGGAAAAAAUCUCUCAGAUCACCAACCAGCAGCCCAUCCCUCCAUGCCCACUGCCCAUGGCCCUCAGUGCCACAUCCACACGGCUCUGGAACACCUCCAGGGACGGUGACUCCACCACCUCCCUGGGCAGCCUGUGCCACUGCCUCACCGCUCUUUCCUUGCAUAGCACAAGUCCUUGUAUAGCACGAGUACUUCCUACACAAAACACCUAUAUCUGUGAUCAAGACAAUGACAAGAUAUGUUACAGAAAGAAGAAAGGCUUUCUUUCCGUGAAGAUGUCUGUGUGAUUUUUUUUUUCCUCUGAAAGAUAUUUGAGACUUUCAAUCACUGGCAAUGAAAUUAUAAUCUACUUGUCUCCUAAAAUAAAAAAUAGAACAACCCCCUCUUUUACCUUCCUCUAGCAGAUCUAGUCUCUUUGCAUAUACUUUUCCUGAACAGAAGUUAUUGCUUCAACAUUUCUGAUAUUCGGGAGUGUUCCCCUAGAGCUACUUCAGAGUGUUUAUGAUAAAACUAAUACUAGAAUUAUGCUGACAUAUUGGAGGAGCAAGUGGUGAAUAUUAGGUAUGCAGCUAUGAAAUUUUAGAAUUGCUGCAUUGUACACUGUAUGGCAAUAUUGCAUGACAAUAUGAUAACAUUAUAUUGUAUAGCAGUUGUUAUAUAUAUUUUGCUAUGUCAUUUUACUACAUUGACACAAGAUCUGUGUAGAGGUUAUAAUACCUAUUUUAUCCUUGGAUUUUCAUCCUCUUUUUUGUAUCACAUAUUGUGCAAACCCUGCUUCUCCCUGUUGUCAUUUAUACUUGAUAUUAAAUAUAAUCCUGACUUCACUGAAAAUAAGAUUUUUUUUUUUUGCUCAACU